CUUGGUUUAGUACAGAGGAUUUUAUUUUGGCUUCAGUUUGGGCUUCAUUUUGGGCAUCUCAGUUGAAACUUAAUUGUUCAAGUAAACUUAUUUCAAACAAGUUCUCAACUUGAGAAACAACAUUUCUUGUUCUGAUAUGAUCACCCCUAAAAUGUAGAGAGUUUCGUGACUGCAGUUAGCUAACUACCUCUGUUUGGACAUAUAUGUAAUCUGAUAUUUGCUCCUUACAAAAGGUCUUCAGGUGUUAGCCAAAUUAUCAAUCUGAUAUCAUUAUGCUUAGCAGCAUUAUAGAAAUUCAAACUAUUAAGCAUUAGCAUGUCACUUUUAGUCUUUGAUUGUCACAGAACAUGGGCUGGUUCUUAACCUGCAUAAGUUCAGUGGUAGGAGCCAUGGAUAUUUAAACUCUGUUAUGGAAUUUCUUUUUUUUUUUUUUUGGUUUUCCAUUGAGUUCAAUACAGGUCAUUCUGUGUACAUGUCUGGUGAUUGGGACUUGAUAAUAAUGCUUCAGAAAAUAGCAGCCACGUCUUUCGUUUUCCUAGCAUGGGGCUUAUAGCAGCAACCUCUGCAUCAUUUUAGGUGGCAAUUGGAUAUAUUGCCUAAUUUUAGUCGGUGGGGCUUCCUAAAUGUACUUAAUAGCAACCACGUCUUUCAUUUUAGCUUGUUGCAGUUGUUCACACAGUAAUCAUUCUCGAAUGUCCAUGCAAGCUACAUAUUGGAAGAGGAUAUAGCUCAACAAUCUUCAUCAGACAUUGAUCAACAUAUUAGGAGCUUCGAUUUAUUUUGAAAAGUUGACUUAAUGCACUGACAUAUGGCUUCUGUUGCUGCAGAAAACCAUAGGAUUCCAGUCAUUGUUGUUGGGCAUCGUUUUGGGAAUUCAAGUGGCAUCGCUCCUCAUGCACAGUAAUUGAUUAAAUGAUGGGAUUCCAGUCAUCUGAAAGCUAUUGAUUGCUGUGCAUUCGAUGAAUGCUAUCUUUCUCCUUGGUAAUGCUGCAUUGAAUUGCUUGGUAAUCUAGUGCGGAUUGGAAGUGAGCUCUCUGAAACUAGGUCGAACAAAGAAAUGCCAUACUUAGAAAGUGGAUAUAUACAAAGGGUCCGAAGGGAAAAGUGUUGAAUCUCCAAGCAUUGUUGUUGAUUCACAUCAAAAGAUGUUGAUGGUCUUGGGUAACAUUGGAUAUUGCAAAGAUCAACUUUCAUAUGAGUUGUACAAAUAAGUAAAAAAGAAACCAGAAUGGUUCUAUCAAGACAAACACUAUGGCACAAAUGGUAAAGGCAGUUUGCAUGAUUUUAGGGAUGGAUAUGUUUGGAUCUGCUCUGCCCAAACAUUUUGCUAGAGACAUUGAAAUUGAAGAUGAUGCACCUAAAAGAAAGCCCUCAUUGAAGGAGAUUGAUGCCUUGGAGUGAUCCCUGCAAUGCAUGUUGCUUUAGGAAGAGGAUGAAUCAAGAGUGAAAAGGUCUUUUAUUAUACGAUGUGAUCUUCACCAGCAAAGGGUUUGGUUUGAUGCAUGGGAUAGAUGCAAUUCCAACUUGGAUAACUUAAAGCUACAUCAUUUUUUGUAGGCUAACUAGUAGCUACUGCUAAGUUGUGACCUUAAUUGGAGAGGUACUAUAAUAUGUUGAUUUGUAAAGUGGAAAUGGAAAUAAAAGUGUUGAAUUUCAUGCUAACUUAAUGUUGAA